AGUGAACGCUGGCGGUAUGCCUAACACAUGCAAGUCGAACGGCAGCACAGUAAGAGCUUUCUCUUACGGUUGGCGAGUGGCGGACGGGUGAGGAAUACAUCGGCAUCUUCUUUUUCUUGGGGGAUAUCGUAGGGAAACUUACGCUACUACCGCAUACGACCUACGGGUUAAAGCAGUGGAUCUUCGUACUUUUCGUGUUUGUUUGAGCCGAUGUCGGAUUAGCUAGUUGGCGGGGUAAAGGCCCACCAAGGCGACGAUCCGUAGCUGGUCUGAGAGGAUGAUCAGCCACACUGGAACUGAGACACGGUCCAGACUCCUACGGGAGGCAGCAGUGGGGAAUAUUGGACAAUGGGCGCAAGCCUGAUCCAGCCAUACCGCGUGGGUGAAGAAGGCCUUCGGGUUGUAAAGCCCUUUUGUUGGGGAAGAAAAGCAGCAGGUUAAUACCCCGCUGUUCUGACGGUACCCAAAGAAUAAGCACCGGCUAACUUCGUG
rnacentral:rRNA from 1 species